rnacentral:rRNA from 1 species
GUACGUGAAACCGUUUAGGGGUAAACCUGAGAAACCCGAAAGGUCGAAGGGAGAAAUUCAUUCGCGUUUCGCAGUUAGCGUGAAGCGGUCGUGUGACGAAAGACGUUCGCGUAUUUCGCACCUUCCGUUUUUCGAUCUGACGGCGAACGCGUGCACUUUUCUCCUGGUAGGACGUCGCGAUCCGUUGAGUGUCGGUUUACGGCUCGCGGUGGAGCCCGUACGUACGAUCUAAUCGUUACUGUACGGACCCGCGUGUCCCAACUGACUCGCUCGACGGUACACGAACGGUUUUAGGCCGCUCUUUGAGCGUUCGGCUCGUUACAAGCGCGCCAGAUGUGCUGGAAAUCGGACCUGGUCCGAUCCCGGCCUCUGGUGACUGUUGGUGACGAAGUUCUCGAACAGACCUUUAACCGAUCUGCGACGCUAUAGCUUUGGGUACUUUCAGGACCCGUCUUGAAACACGGACCAAGGAGUCUAGCAUGUACGCAAGUCAUUGGGAAUCACUAAACCUAAAGGCGUAAUGAAAGUAAAAGUCUUCCUAGCGAAGACUUAGGGAGGAUGAGUGGUUUACUUCGUGUGGCCACUCCGCACUCCCGGGGCGUCUCAUUCUCAUUGCGAGAAGAGGCGCACCAAGAGCGUACACGCUGGGACCCGAAAGAUGGUGAACUAUGCCUGGUCAGGACGAAGUCAGGGGAAACCCUGAUGGAGGUCCGUAGCGAUUCUGACGUGCAAAUCGAUCGUCGGAACUGGGUAUAGGGGCGAAAGACUAAUCGAACCAUCUAGU